rnacentral:rRNA from 1 species
UACGUAGGGGGCAAGCGUUGUCCGGAUUUAUUGGGCGUAAAGAGCGUGUAGGCGGCUAGGUAGGUCCGUUGUGAAAACUCGAGGCUCAACCUCGAGACGCCGAUGGAAACCAUCUAGCUAGAGUCCGGAAGAGGAGAGUGGAAUUCCUGGUGUAGCGGUGAAAUGCGCAGAUAUCAGGAGGAACACCGGUGGCGAAGGCGGGUCUCUGGGCAACAACUGACGCUGAGGAGCGAAAGCGUGGGGAGCGAACAGG